GGUGGGUUGAGAUCUGGUAAACCAACGUCGCGUGGUCCGUUUGGACUCUAAAUUAUUUUUUUCUCCCUCUGUUUUUUAUUUUUUGUUAGAAAAGUUUCUUCCUUUUCCCAUUUCCAUGACUGAGGAGGAGGAGAGACCAGAGAGAGAGAGAGAGAGUGAGGGAAAGAGAGAUGGCGAUGGCGUGAUGGUGGCGUAGGGUUUGAAAUUCGCUUCUGGUUUUUUUUUUUUUCUUCUUCUUUAGGGCUGAAUUAUUGAGAGGGACGAAGACGAUUCUUUGAGUGCUCGCGGGGGGAGGAAAGAGGCAAAAGUGCCCACACACCUCUCUCUCUGUCUUCUUUCCCUCUCUCUCUCUCUGGCUUCCAGUUUGAGGAUCGGAGGGCUCGUGGGGCUGGUGACGAGUGGAUUCUGGAUGAAGGUUGCCGGGGGCGGGGUUCCGGAUGCUGUAGACGUCGUUUCGGAGUUGAGUGGGAUUGGAAAUUUUUUGCGGCUUUUUGGAGUAUUUUCAAGGUGGAAAUAGGGCUUCGGACGGGAGAGGCCAGAAAGCCGGUUGGAUUUUUGCAGUUUCUGCAGUAGCGAUUUUGGUGCAGCGUCGGGUUGAAUUAGGCGUGACUUUUUACUGCGGCUUGGAAAAUGGAAAGGGAGUUAGGCCCGCAAGUUGCUGGUCCUUUGUUCAUUCACCAGGCAGUUCCAACACGAUUCUGUGAGCCGGCUGCUAUGGCCAAGAAGCGUGAUUUGCCUUGGGCUAACACUGUUUGCCACCAAUCGACACCUCUUCCUUUGAACGUUGUUGAUUACCGAGGACCAUCGGCAAAUUGGAAUCCAAAGGCCUGGGGUUGGGACAGUCUCAUGUGUGUUGCAAAACCUGUAGCAAAUGAGCAGCAAAGUGCUGUUUCUGAGGUUGAAUUUCCUGACAAGGGAAGAGGCAAGGAAAGCCUCAAGCCACCAGAUUUGAAGAAUAACACUGAGGAUGAUGAUGCAGAAGGCCUAACACUGAAGCUUGGAGGUGGUUCAUACUCUAUGGUGGAUGAUGCUGCAGUGAGGCCAAACAAGCGCGUCCGUUCUGGUUCACCAAACGGCAGCUAUCCGAUGUGCCAAGUGGAUGAUUGCAAAGCAGAUUUAUCAAAUGCUAAAGAUUAUCAUCGGCGUCACAAGGUCUGUGAGGUCCAUAGUAAAACCACUAAAGCAUUGGUCGGCAAACAAAUGCAGAGAUUCUGCCAACAAUGUAGCAGGUUUCAUCCCCUUCUGGAAUUCGAUGAAGGGAAGAGAAGCUGCAGGCGGAGGCUUGCAGGACAUAACAGGCGUAGAAGAAAGACUCAGCCAGAAGAUGCAUCUUCACGUCUGCUGCUGUCUGGAGGGAAGGAAAAUGCUACGGCUGGGAACUUGGACCUUGUUAAUUUGCUGACUGUUUUGGCUCGUUUGCAAGGAAGUAAUGCGGAUAAAAGUAACAAUGGCCUGCCACUACCUGACAAAGACAACCAUCUUCUUCAGAUUCUUGGUAAAAUAAACUCAAUGCCACUUCCCGAAAACAUCAGUGGCAGAUUUCCUUUGCCAGGAAACAUGGAUCUAAAUGUUAAACAGAUGCCACAUUCUUCAGAGCAUUUAGCAAAAUCUAGUGAGAAUCAAGCUGCAGCUUCCUCGGAUUUUCUUGCAGUUAUUUCUGCUGCACUAGCAGCAUCAUCUGCAGGAACCCGACUUCCAUCAAAUGUCACGAAGAAUCAGUGUGAUGAAGAAAAGGGUCAGAAGGAACAGCACUCUAUGAAUGCUAGCUUUAAGGAUCAGGUGGAUGGUUCCAGAAUACAGUCCAAUACUGGCACGCUGCAUCCUUCCUGUGAAUUUGAGUCAAGCAAGUCAUUUCUUUCACCUGAUGUCUCAAAGCACCCUGUCCGACCUUCUCGACCAAGUAUACCACUGCAGCUAUUUAUGUCUUCUCCAGAAGAGGAUAGUUCAUCAAGAAUGGAUUCAGGUAGAAAGUAUUUCUCUUCUGAUAGCAGUAAUCCGACAGAGGAGAGGUCCCCUUCAUCUUCUCCUGUAGUGCAAAAGCUGUUUCCGUUGCAUUCUGCAGAGGAAAUGAAAAAGACAGAAAGAGUUUCAUCUCUUAUGGAUAAUUGCUCCGUUGUAGAGACUGCUCAUGGUAACAAAUGGGGCUUUCCUUUAAAUCUCUUGAAAGGUGCAAAUGGAAGAACUGAAAAUGGCGUUCUGCCUGGUUUACCUCAAAGGUUUCAGGAGUCAGCAUCACCUGUCAGAAGAGCAGGCUACACAUCGUCAUCUGGUUCUGACCAUUCUCCAUCUAGUUCAAAUUCCGAUGCACGGGAUCGGACUGGGCGCAUAAUCUUCAAGCUCUUUGACAAGGAUCCCAGCGACUUCCCUCCAGCACUUCGGCUACAGAUAUUGGAUUGGCUUGAUCACAGUCCAUCAGAUAUGGAAAGCUAUAUAAGGCCAGGUUGUGUAGUACUCGCUGUAUAUGUAUCAAUGCCUUGCCUUGCUUGGGAAAAGCUUCGGGAAGACUUUCGGAAGCGUGUCACAUCACUUGUCCACAAUACUGCCUCGGAGUUUUGGAGAAGUGGUCGAUUCCUUGUCCACAUGGAUGGCGAGUUGGCAUCUCAUAUGCAUGGGAAAAUCAGGAUCUCCAAGUCAUGGAAAGAACGGCAAGCUCCUGAACUAAUCUAUGCAUCUCCAUUAGCAGUGGUGGGUGGGCAGGAGACUGCGAUUAACUUGAUAGGUCGAAACUUGAGGUUUACCGGUACCAGGAUUCACUGCACGUACAUGGGAGGUUAUGCUUCUGAAGAAGUUUCUGAAAAUCCUUCCAUUGCCUUGGAUGAGCUAAUAAGUUCUGUAAGUUUUAGCAUUCCUUGUGGAGCAUCUAUGUUAUGGGGCCGAUUCUUUCUUGAGGUUGAGAAUGGGUUCAAAGGGAACAGCUUCCCAAUUAUAGUUGCGGAUGCAGACAUAUGUAUGGAGCUGAGAAGCUUGGAAGCUGAGUUAGAGCAGGGUUUGAGGAAAUCAACUGUGAUCUCAGAUGAUCGAGUGCAGGAUAGUGGACCGUCCAGCUCUAGGGAGGAUAUUGUCCACUUUCUCAAUGAGCUUGGAUGGCUAUUUCAGAGAAGAAGCUACCACAAAGGGUCCAGUGGAAAUGAUUUUUCGUGUGAGCGCUUCAAGCAUCUUUUUGUUUUCUCCGUUGAGAGGGAUUGGAUUGCAUUAGUCAAGAACCUCCUCGAUAUUCUUAUGGAGAGAAAUUUGGAAAGGGAAGAGGUGAUGGAAAUCUUAUCAGAAAUUCAUUUGCUAAACCGCGCUGUGAAUAGAAGAUGCGUCAAGAUGGUCAAUUUGCUUCUCCAAUAUCGUGGCUGCAGUAAAAACUCCAGUUCUUCGACGGACUAUCUUUUCACUCCCAACUCAGUUGGCGUUGGCGGCAUCACUCCUCUGCAUCUAGCAGCUUGUGCACGAGGAUCCGAAGAUUUAAUUGAUGCUUUGACAAACGAUCCACAAGAGAUUGGGCUGAAGGCCUGGACUUCGGCACUAGAUGCAAGUGGGACUUCUCCUCAUGGCUACGCGCUGUUGAAGAGCCACCACUCUUACAACAGCCUAGUUCAUCGGAAACUAGUGGAUAGGGCAAGUGGGCAAGUUUCCAUCACUGUUGAACCCACGGAGGCUUCUACACGAAUGGAUGAAUCCUGGAUUAUAGCCAGCUCCGAGAAGCCAAAACAGUUGCCCGUUCAGCAGAAAGCCUGUACAAGCUGUGCGAUCGCUGCCUCGAGAAGGCCAGGUCGAUUGCCCGCUGGAAGGGGCCUGCUUUACCGGCCGUACAUCAACUCGGUGCUUGCCAUCGCGGCCGUCUGCGUCUGUGUCUGCAUUCUUUGCAGGGGCCGCCCGCAGCUGGGGAAGGUUGCUCCCUUUAUGUGGGAGAACAUUUCAUAUGGUUGGCUGUGACCACAAUCGAGGAACUUUAAGGGCGGGUUCCCCGGAGGAAAAUCCCCUCCUGUGCGUAUCCAUUCGACGCAUAAUAGUGAAAAGGACUCAGAAAUGGCUUGAAGAUAAAAGGGCUAGGAAAGCCGCUGCUUGUGAUUUAAUUACUUGGUAUAUCUUUCAGCCGAGUCAUUUCUUAAUGCUGGAAAAUUGUCAUAAGCACCGGAGGUUCUCUCCGUCUCAGCAUUUUUGCUUUCGAGGCAUUUUCACAGCGGGAAGACCGGAAUCAGCGCGGGAACACUGUCUUCUUCGAAGGGAAGCUUCAGAGGAAGAGAGGAGAGAGUGCGGGAUAAGUGAUGGAAAGUGAUCUGCCCUCCUUGCUGUCUUUGCUAAUUCUGUCUGUACUGCGUUUCUCUUUCUGCUAGCGGCCCUGGGUGGGUGUGAUGAAAGAAGACGCGAGGCAUUUUACCGCGAGAAGCUCCCGCGGUCUUCGUUUCUCUCACGUCGAUGCGGCAGCUUUGGUGGGGGCAGGUGGCCCCGCCUGACUCCAGCGGGACCCGUCUCCACUUUUCCAGCGUCGGACCGGAGAGGUCAAGUCUCCUCCUGUCCGCGCGCUCCCUAACCAUGGUUAAGCACUGGUGAACCCGCCGCCGUACGGCUAAAGAGGGAGAAUGACGAGAAACGCCCUCGAUGGUGGGGGAGGUCAUUGGGGGUUGUCCGUGUUUGACCACGAUUUGCUCGUUGUUCUGCCGUGUCAAAUCUAAGGUCCGCGGCAGUGGCGGGGCGAGAAUGAGUGUUUGUUCGUCGCCGUUGGGCCUCCCGUUCCAAGCGGAGUCGCGGCGGGCCCCGCGGUGGGAAGGAGGAGUACGCGUCGGUGGCCGUCUUGGGUCGACGCGUGGACGGCCGCUAUUAGUAGCUAAAAAGAACACCGAAGUGAAUGUGCUGUGGGGCAUAUGGACUUAUUAUUGAGGGGUGCGUGGGGCCCGUCGUGGUUCUGGAGAGGGACUUGUCCGCUGGUGCUCUUCUCAGCGAUGAUGGGUAGCGACUACUCCGUCCUUUUCUAUAUUUUCUUCCCCUACACUUUUUAGUAAGACGAUGAAAUCACACUGGGGUGGGGAAACCUUGUUUACUGUUGAGGACGUCUGUUGUAGUUAGUUUUGUAUAAUCAGUUUCUGGUCUGGAUUUAGUAUAAACUCAAAUUUGGAUUUGGAUUUGGA